rnacentral:rRNA from 1 species
CGAUGNUAGGGGUUCUGAGAGGAAGGUCCCCCACAUUGGAACUGAGACACGGUCCAAACUCCUACGGAAGGCAGCAG